rnacentral:rRNA from 1 species
UACACUCCUGCGGGAGGCAGCAGUGGGGAAUAUUGCACAAUGGGCGCAAGCCUGAUGCAGCCAUGCCGCGUGUAUGAAGAAGGCCUUCGGGUUGUAAAGUACUUUCAGCGGGGAGGAAGGCGAUAAGGUUAAUAACCUUGUUGAUUGACGUUACCCGCAGAAGAAGCACCGGCUAACUCCGUGCCAGCAGCCGCGGUAAUACGGAGGGUGCAAGCGUUAAUCGGAAUUACUGGGCGUAAAGCGCACGCAGGCGGUCUGUCAAGUCGGAUGUGAAAUCCCCGGGCUCAACCUUGGAACUGCAUUCGAAACUGGCAGGCUAGAGUCUUGUAGAGGGGGGUAGAAUUCCAGGUGUAGCGGUGAAAUGCGUAGAGAUCUGGAGGAAUACCGGUGGCGAAGGCGGCCCCCUGGACAAAGACUGACGCUCAGGUGCGAAAGCGUGGGGAGCAAACAGGAUUAGAUACCCCAGUAGUCCCAUG